CAAGCCAUUAUAGAAGCAACGUGUAUCCCAAGCAUCAAGACUGGCACCUCCAAGCUCCUUCCCCCUGGAACUUUACUCAACAUUUCAGCAUCAGGCCAUUAUAGCUUUGAAUUGUGCCUUUGAGCAUCUCUGUUUUUGCAUCCAUUAACAAGAUGUGUCCUAAGAAAUCAUUUAUGAUGGCGAGAACCCUGCUGGCCAUCUUAUAUGCCCCUAAGGACGGCAUAGAAGGAGCUGACUGCUGCGGUUCCAGAAGAAGUGAUGGUAGGCCUAGAGAGCUCUCUGAGCUAGUCCAGCCAUCCAGUUGGCCUGAGGUAAGAAACUGGGGAGGUUGGAGAGAGGUAGAACUAAUAGCACAGCACAAUAAAACUCACAAGGAAGUGCUGGUUCAGAGUCCCCUAUCAGAGAAAGAAAAAUUGAGGCAAAAUGCAGUUUCUCUUCACUCCCCUGAUAAUAAAACAAAUUUACAGGAUCUCAUCAAAACUAUGGAAGAAAGACAAGUUCUGAAAACUUCCUGGUGUGCAAGGCAUAACAAAGAAAAUGUAUUGUACAGCACUUAUGUAUGUAAAUGUCCAUAA
rnacentral:lncRNA from 1 species